rnacentral:sRNA from 1 species
CUGCAUCAGACGAGAGGCCCAUUUUCCAACACGCCCAAGAAAAAAUAUACAUAAAGGUUGAUGUGUUUUCAAAUGGGUUUUUGCUUUGCUCUUCUCUUUUCUCCCUAACCAAGCGCCUCCAGGUCUCUACACGAAGACCCAGGACCCAGCCAAAGCCCCCAACACCCCUGACAUUCUCGAGAUCGAGUUCAAAAAAGGGGUCCCUGUGAAGGUGACCAACGUCAAGGAUGGCACCACCCACCAGACCUCCUUGGAGCUCUUCAUGUACCUGAACGAAGUCGCGGGCAAGCAUGGCGUGGGCCGUAUUGACAUCGUGGAGAACCGCUUCAUUGGAAUGAAGUCCCGAGGUAUCUACGAGACCCCAGCAGGCACCAUCCUUUACCAUGCUCAUUUAGACAUCGAGGCCUUCACCAUGGACCGGGAAGUGCGCAAAAUCAAACAAGG